ACGCAUGACUAUGACGUGAAGAUGCGUAACGUACUGAAAUUUCUUGAAAAAGGCGACAAAGUCAAAGUCACGCUGCGGUUUCGCGGUCGCGAAAUGGCGCACCAGGACCUGGGCCGCGACCUGCUGAACCGGGUGGCCGAAGACGUCAAGGACAUCGGCAAGGUCGAGAACAUGCCGAAGAUGGAAGGCCGUCAGAUGAUCAUGGUGAUCGGCCCCAUCGCGCGCUGAGGUCGGGCCAUCCGUUUCGUACAAAACGUACGAAGUGUACGCGGGUUUUGUACGAAAUCCGGGGCUUUCACGAAAGA
rnacentral:misc_RNA from 1 species